rnacentral:rRNA from 1 species
GAUGAACGCUGGCGGCGUGCUUAACACAUGCAAGUCGAACGGGGUACCCCCAAAGGAGUUUUCGGACAACUGCGGGGAAUACCUAGUGGCGGACGGGUGAGUAACGCGUGAGUAACCUGCCUUGGAGUGGGGAAUAACAGCUGGAAACAGCUGCUAAUACCGCAUAAUGCAGUUGGGUCGCAUGGCUCUGACUGCCAAAGAUUUAUCGCUCUGAGAUGGACUCGCGUCUGAUUAGCUAGUUGGUGGGGCAACGGCCCACCAAGGCGACGAUCAGUAGCCGGACUGAGAGGUUGGCCGGCCACAUUGGGACUGAGACACGGCCCAGACUCCUACGGGAGGCAGCAGUGGGGAAUAUUGGGCAAUGGGCGCAAGCCUGACCCAGCAACGCCGCGUGAAGGAAGAAGGCUUUCGGGUUGUAAACUUCUUUUCUCAGGGACGAAGCAAGUGACGGUACCUGAGGAAUAAGCCACGGCUAACUACGUGCCAGCAGCCGCGGUAAUACGUAGGUGGCAAGCGUUAUCCGGAUUUACUGGGUGUAAAGGGCGUGUAGGCGGGAAAGCAAGUCAGAUGUGAAAACCAUGGGCUCAACCUGUGGCCUGCAUUUGAAACUGUUUUUCUUGAGUACUGGAGAGGCAGACGGAAUUCCUAGUGUAGCGGUGAAAUGCGUAGAUAUUAGGAGGAACACCAGUGGCGAAGGCGGUCUGCUGGACAGCAACUGACGCUGAGGCGCGAAAGCGUGGGGAGCAAACAGGAUUAGAUACCCUGGUAGUCCACGCUGUAAACGAUGGAUACUAGGUGUGGGGGGACUGACCCCCUCCGUGCCGCAGUUAACACAAUAAGUAUCCCACCUGGGGAGUACGAUCGCAAGGUUGAAACUCAAAGGAAUUGACGGGGGCCCGCACAAGCGGUGGAGUAUGUGGUUUAAUUCGAAGCAACGCGAAGAACCUUACCAGGGCUUGACAUCCCGAUGACCGCUCUAGAGAUAGGGUUUUCUCUUCGGAGACAUCGGUGACAGGUGGUGCAUGGUUGUCGUCAGCUCGUGUCGUGAGAUGUUGGGUUAAGUCCCGCAACGAGCGCAACCCUUAUUGUUAGUUGCUACGCAAGAGCACUCUAGCGAGACUGCCGUUGACAAAACGGAGGAAGGUGGGGACGACGUCAAAUCAUCAUGCCCCUUAUGUCCUGGGCCACACACGUACUACAAUGGUGGUCAACAGAGGGAAGCAAUACCGCGAGGUGGAGCAAAUCCCUAAAAGCCAUCCCAGUUCGGAUCGCAGGCUGCAACCCGCCUGCGUGAAGUUGGAAUCGCUAGUAAUCGCGGAUCAGCAUGCCGCGGUGAAUACGUUCCCGGGCCUUGUACACACCGCCCGUCACACCAUGAGAGUCGGGAACACCCGAAGUCCGUAGCCUAACAGCAAUGGGGGCGCGGCCGAAGGUGGGUUCGAUAAUUGGGGUGAAGUCGUAACAAGGUAGCCGUAUCGGAAGGUGCGGCUGGAUCACCUCCUUUCUAAGGAGACCUCAGUCAUCUAAGAGGUGGCUGUAAGAUUCCUAGGUCAGACCUCGGUGUGGGAUGGGAGUCACGUUGUUUAAUUUAGAGGGCGCACGCUGCGAAUCCCCGUAAACCAAAUCGAAGCCCAGCGAAGCGGGUUCGAUUUGGAGAGGAGGAGCAAGGAAGCGGUGCGAGGGAUAGCUGAAAGCUGUCCCGAGUGGAGCGGACUUUGCUCCGACGAGACGGGCCCAUAGCUCAGCUGGCUAGAGCGCACGACUGAUAAUCGUGAGGUCGGUGGUUCGAGUCCACUUGGGCCCACCACCCAACUUGAGCGGUUACGGGGGUUUAGCUCAGCUGGUAGAGCACCUGCUUUGCAAGCAGGGGGUCACCGGUUCGAAUCCGAUAACCUCCACCAAUUGAGAUUGGAUUGAAGUGUUUGUCCAAUAGGGCGAGCAUUUCAAUCUGACCUUGAAGAAGGUUGGAGCUGCACCUUGAAAACUGAACAGUGAAGCAAGCAAGAAAUUGCGAGCAAGCAACAGAGAGGUAACAAAGUUUUAUUGUGGAACUUUUUAAAAGGGUAACACAAAUACUACAAUGAACCAAAUCUGAGGCCUGCAUAAUUCUUGUGAGAACCAGAGGGCGCACAAAGUGCGCCGCCAGGUCAAGCUAUAAAGAGCGCAAGGGGAAUGCCUUGGCAUCAAGAGCCGAAGAAGGACGUGACAAGCUGCGAUAAGCCGUGGGGAGCCGCACAUAGGCGUUAUAUCCACGGAUUUCCGAAUGGGGAAACCCGGCAGAGCAAUACUCUGUCAGCCUGCGUUGAAUCAAAUAGGCGUAGGUGGGGAACCGCCUGAACUGAAACAUCUAAGUAGGGCGAGGAAGAGAAAUCAACAGAGAUUCCGCUAGUAGUGGCGAGCGAACGCGGAAGAGGGCAAACCGGAGGAUUUAUCCUCCGGGGUUGUGGACUGACACAACGGAGCAAUAGGUUAGCUGAACGGUAUGGGAAGGCCGGCCAUAGCGGGUGAGAGCCCCGUAAGCGAAAGCUGAAUUGUUCCAGUCAGGAUCCAGAGUACCGCAGGACACGUGAAACCCUGUGGGAAACUGGGGGGACCACCCUCCAACCCUAAAUACUACUUGAUGACCGAUAGAGGAGC